rnacentral:misc_RNA from 1 species
GAUGAAGAACGUAGCGAAAUACGAUACGUAAUGUGAAUUGCAGAAUUCAGUGAAUCAUCGAGUCUUUGAACGCACAUUGCGCCCCCUGGUAUUCCGGGGGGCAUGCCUGUCCGAGCGUCAUUGCUGCCCUCAAGCACGGCUUGUGUGUUGGGCCUCCGCCCCCCGGCUCCCGGGGGGCGGGCCCGAAAGGCAGCGGCGGCACCGCGUCCGGUCCUCGAGCGUAUGGGGCUUCGUCACCCGCUCCGUAGGCCCGGCCGGCGCCCGCCGGCGACCCCCCUCAAUCUUUCCAGGUUGACCUCGGAUCAGGUAGGGAUACCCGCUGAACUUAAGCAUAUCAAUAAGCGGAGGA